rnacentral:misc_RNA from 1 species
GAUGAAGAACGUAGCGAAAUGCGAUAAGUAAUGUGAAUUGCAGAAUUCAGUGAAUCAUCGAAUCUUUGAACGCACAUUGCGCCCUCUGGUAUUCCGGGGGGCAUGCCUGUUCGAGCGUCAUUAUAACCACUCAAGCUCUCGCUUGGUAUUGGGGUUCGCGGUUCCGCGGCCCCUAAAAUCAGUGGCGGUGCCUGUCGGCUCUACGCGUAGUAAUACUCCUCGCGAUUGAGUCCGGUAGGUCUACUUGCCAGCAACCCCCAAUUUUUACAGGUUGACCUCGGAUCAGGUAGGGAUACCCGCUGAACUUAAGCAUAUAAUAAGCGGAGGA